rnacentral:tRNA from 4 species
CCCUCGGUCGUCUAGUUGGUUUAUGGCGUCCGACUGUAAAUCGGAAUGUCGCGUGUUCGACUCACGCCUGAGGGA